rnacentral:rRNA from 1 species
CACGUAGGGUGCGAGCGUUUGUCCGGAAUUAUUGGGCGUAAAGAGCGCGUAGGCGGUGUGUCGCGUCGGCCGUGAAAACCUGCAGCUUAACUGUGGGCUUGCGGUCGAUACGGGCAUCACUGGAGUUCGGCAGGGGGAGACUGGAAUUCCUGGUGUAGCGGUGAAAUGCGCAGAUAUCAGGAGGAACACCAAUGGGCGAAGGCAGCUCGCUGGGGACGGUACUGACGCUGAGACGCGAAAAGCGUGGGGGAGCAAACAGG